AGCAUCACACCAUGUGUAUCUAACCUGAAUUGCCGAGUGAGUAAACUAGCAUUUCGUUGUUAUUCGAUUUCCGAUGACUUUGGAUUUCGAAAGCCAUCUGCCUUGUCUUUAUUUCUACACGUAGCAACGUCUAACCCCGCGUAUUUCUUUUACAGCAAUUUCAAUCCUGCCCGGUGAAGCGUGCGAUUGCCCGACGCGUGUCACCUGACCCAACCCCAAGAAGGUGUCGUUGGUGACCAGAGCCGUCAGCGAGCCACGAGCCGUCCGGAGCUCCUGUCCUGGCCCCGUCCGACAGUCCAGGUUGGCCGUUGUAUGUUCGUUGAGCGGAUACUGAGGAAUUUCCUUAGGAUUUCCAUUAAUCUUCAGCGGCAUCAGCCUUCUAACGCCGCUGCUGAAUGUAGGAUUGCAAAGGCAGAACCCGGGUGGACUCUAGCGGGUUAAAACCUUUAUUUUAUUAUUUUUUCUUCAUAGGGAGCCCCGUUAGAACGGGCAGUAGUAUCUAAAUUGCACUUUGAACCUUUUGUAGGCGCUAGGCUAUCAACGUCCUUCGGUUACGGGGCCUUAACGUUAAACUGCUAUCCCAUUGAAGUAAUAUAGAAGUUCCUCUGUGGUUAAUACCAUCCUUCUACCCCUGUGGCGUGAAACGCAGCGGUGGAACCUUGGUUUCUCCACUCUUAUAUAAUUUCCUUGCAAUACCUUGUGUACUUCAACCAGACAAUUAUAAGGACUUAAUCCCUGGUCUCAUUUAAGUAGUAUAAGAGUUUCUCUGUGGUUAAUACCAUCCUUCUACCCCUGUGGCGUGAAACGCAGUGGUGGAACUUUGGUUUCUCCACUCUUAUAUAAUUUCUAUAUAAUAAAUAUUAAUAAUUGUACAACA